rnacentral:rRNA from 1 species
UGGGGAAUCUUCCGCAAUGGACGAAAGUCUGACGGAGCGACGCCGCGUGAGCGAAGAAGGUCUUCGGAUCGUAAAGCUCUGUUGUUAGGGAAGAAGAAGUGCCGUUCGAACAGGGCGGCGCGGUGACGUUACCUAACGAGAAAGCCCCGGCUAACUACGUGCCAGCAGCCGCGGUAAUACGUAGGGGGCGAGCGUUGUCCGGAAUUAUUGGGCGUAAAGCGCGCGCAGGCGGUCCCUUAAGUCUGAUGUGAAAGCCCACGGCUUAACCGUGGAGGGUCAUUGGAAACUGGGGGACUUGAGUGCAGAAGAGGAGAGCGGAAUUCCACGUGUAGCGGUGAAAUGCGUAGAGAUGUGGAGGAACACCAGUGGCGAAGGCGGCUCUCUGGUCUGUAACUGACGCUGAGGCGCGAAAGCGUGGGGAGCAAACAGG